GGCUGUGAGGGCAAUCUGGCUGCAACAUCUGUCACCUCACUGAUAGGUUGAUUCGGCUGAUCUGGCUGGUUAGGCAAGUGUCACCUUCCUCCUUCACCACUCCAUGUGUGUCCCUCCCAAAGCUGCGCACUUAAAGAGAAUGACCAGCCUGAUAGAGGAGGACGGUUCUUCAGUCAAGGGUAUACAAGUAGCUGCGCUCCCCUGCUAGAAGCUCCAAACAGGCUCUCAAGGUAAAUGCAAAUUAAAGCCACAAUAUGAUAGCAAUAUAUAUCAAUCAGAAUGGUUUGAAU
ensembl:misc_RNA 7SK 7SK RNA